rnacentral:rRNA from 1 species
UUCCGGUUGAUCCUGCCGGCGGUCACCGCUCUUGGAAUCCGAUUAAGCCAUGUGAGUCGAGAAGGUUCGGCCCUCGGCAGACUGCUCAGUAACACGUGGAUAACCUACCCUAAGGUGGGGGAUAAUCUCGGAAAACUGAGGAUAAUACCCCAUAGAUCUUGGUGACUGGAAUGUCCCAAGGUUGAAAGUUCCGGCGCCUUAGGAUGGGUCUGCGGCCUAUCAGGUUGUAGUUAGUGUGAAGAACUAACUAGCCGACGACGGGUACGGGCCAUGGGAGUGGUAGCCCGGAGAUGGACUCUGAGACGCGAGUCCAGGCCCUACGGGGCGCAGCAGGCGCGAAAACUUUGCAAUGCGCGAAAGCGCGACAAGGGGAUUCCAAGUGCAUGCACUCAGUGUAUGCUUUUCGUGAGUCUAAAAAGCUCACGGAAUAAGGGCUGGGUAAGACUGGUGCCAGCCGCCGCGGUAAUACCAGCGGCCCUAGUGGUGAUCGUUAUUAUUGGGCCUAAAGCGUCCGUAGCCGGUUCGGUAAAUCUCUGGGUAAAUCGUUGGGCUUAACUCAACGAAUUCUGGGGAGACUGCCGAACUUGGGACCGGGAGAGGUCGGAGGUACUCCAGGGGUUGGGGUGAAAUCCUGUAAUCCUUGGGGGACCACCGGUGGCGAAAGCGUCCGACCAGAACGGGUCCGACGGUAAGGGACGAAGCCCUGGGGCGCGAACCGGAUUAGAUACCCGGGUAGUCCAGGGUGUAAACGCUGUGCGCUUGGUGUUGGGGGUCCCACGAGGGCAUCCAGUGCCGGAGAGAAGUUGUUAAGCGCACCGCCUGGGGAGUACGGUCGCAAGACUGAAACUUAAAGGAAUUGGCGGGGGAGCACAGCAACGGGAGGAGCGUGCGGUUUAAUUGGAUUCAACGCCGGAA